CAGAUAUUAAAGCAAACAAAAGUAAUGCCCUAAGACAAAAUUUAUGUUUUAGGAAACACUUAUACCUCUCAUUGCUUUCAGGAGAAUUCCCACAAACAUAUCUGCAGCUCAGAGGACAGAAUUUCUCCAGGCAGAGACAUUUUAUUCAGAAUAAAAUACAGGUGGGGUUAGUAAAGGUGACUAGUGACAUUUGCGAAAACAUGAGUAUUCUCAGUUACAUUACUGACUCAGAACUCACAUAACUGAUAGACACAGUCAUGAAUCAAAGCAUGACAGGGGAAGAAGAAGGAAAAACAGGUUAGGGGAACAGGAAUCGGGCAAGAUUAGAAGAACAAGGUUUUGUAUAAAAUCUGGCAACGAUUUGGGAGAGAUUAGUAUCAGACAUGACCCUGUAUUCUAACUUUUUUGCAAGAGUUUGUUACUCAUUUUCACAGUAGCGGGAAUGUCCAGCAGCACAUUUUCUCUGUGUCUUUGCAGUUUGAAGAGAAAGCCAUGAGGAAAUGUAUAUUGAAGAACUGGGGCAAUGUUUGAAGAACACUGAAGAAAAAAGAAGGAAGGAAAUAUAAGCAGCAAAGAUUUCAAGCAAAUGAGCAAAGUUCCUCUUCUACACCUGCACCUGAUCACUUAAGAAGAGAGAGGACGAAAAAAAGGCAAUCUUUCAUGAAUGGGCUGGUCCGGUGGCAUUUCUUCGUGGUGCACAAGCAUCUGUGUUUAAAGUAAUAAGACCUAGUUCAUUGCUGCAGAAUUCAGAGAAUUCACUCUAAAUGGGAAUGGAACGUAAGAUGUCCUUAGGGAUACUCACAAACCACAGGAGAGCCGUGAACAGCAAAGGCAAAAGGCUGCUGGAAAAAACCAAAACAGGAAGAAGAGGAAACAACUAAAAGGAAGCAGAGAGCACUGGGAAAGACCAACCUUUACCAAAUACUGGCUGGAAUUUUCCAAAGAGUUUGGGGGAAACACUAUGAGAAUUUCCAACAUUGCCAUUCAACCUCUGAAGUUUCCCCUUGUCUAAAAUCUGGGAAUACUACAGCAAGUCAUGUUUGCUUUUAGGGAACAGAUUUGCUCUGGGAAAAAUACUAUGAGAAACAGGAAGAAGAACUGUUUGUUUUGUUUAGUAAAUUCUGAAGGGAAGAAAUAGCCUGCCUUUUUCUCCCUAAGUCAAAAGUUCCCAAGAUGCUUCUCUCUCAGCUUAUCUUAUCACCCCUGAUUACUUUCUGGCUUUUUGAGAUGUUUUUUGUAAGCGUAUCAGUAAGCUUAAGCCCUUUCCUGCCCCCUCGUGAAUUAUUAUUGUUUAGAUUUUGGCAGAAUGUAGAGAUCCCUAUGAAGAUUGUGGCUGUAUUGCCUUAAGUGGAUAUUAUUCCUGCCUGAUUGCUGUGGGAUACUUAGAGGUCAAAUACAUAAAGAGUUGAAAAAGAAGAUUUGACAGUCUCAUGGAGGAAAGGCCCAGCAGGAGUCGUUUGGCCUUCAGCAAUCCCAGAACUGCUGUCUGCUGGGAAUUUGAAAGUUCAAACAGGUUCUAGUGCAGAGUGAACCGGUGAACCAGUCAUCUCAGGGAACUCGGUGUUUGCCCUGCUCCUGGAUACCCUGCACACCUGUACAGGGAAGAAAGCUCACAGGAGCUGGAAGUCUUGCAGAACAGACCCCUAGCCUCAUCCUGUUUUCCAGAGUUCAAAGUAACCAUUUACCUAUUCAAGGGGAACAUUGGGGAGAAUAAGAAAUGCUUAUAAAAUGAUGCAGUGAUACAGACUGCUCUCUUGCUGACGUGGUUAUUGGCUGAGCCUUUCUUUGUGCUCAGACAUACAAAUACAAUUAGAAAAGGUUCCAGGGACCAGCUUCAUUCACCACCCGGCUCAGUUAAAAUUUUGAUACUUAAGCAAAUAUAUACCACACCAUGUAGGUUUGAUUUGGAUAUGAGUAUAUAUAACCAAUAUAGUCUUUUCUAGAACAUAAGACAACAUUUAGUUUUAAAAAUCUUUCUGAAACACAUUACUGUUGACCAUUAUAAUGCACUCUAAUGCAAAGGAAUCAAUAGCCUUUACACCACAGAUAGUUUGUUGUACACAGCAAAUGAAUAAUACAAAAUUCUGUGCCCUUAACAGCCCGAUAUUAAGACUUCAGAAUUUGUAUAAAUCAGAAUGCUUUUUGCAUUUCCUGAAAGAUAGUGCCACAAGUAGUACAGACAGAAAACUACUAUUUAUUCUUCAACCAAUUAAUUGGGUUUUUUCUUAAAUAAAAUAUUUGCAAUUGAUUUU